rnacentral:pre_miRNA from 1 species
CAACUACUCCCUCUGUCCCAAAUUUCUUGUCUUAGAUUUGUCUAGACACGGAUGUAUCUAAUACUAAAAUGUGAUUUGAUACAUCCGUAUCUAGACAAAUCUAAGACAAGAAUUUUGGUACGGAGGGAGUACUUU